CCGAUCCUGAUCUCCACUGCUGUUUCUGCAGAGUCUGCACAUUCUCCUUGUGAUUGCGUGGGCCUUUCUCCCACAUCCUAGGAGGCGUACAGGUUGCAAGAUUAAUUGGCCAGUGUCAGCUGUCCCCAGUGUGUAGCUAAACAGAUUUCCAGACAAGGUGGAAUUUAUCACCAUCAAAGGAUAAGUGCCUGAGUGCUGCAGCAUUGCCAGAAAUUUUAUCCAAAUGGUGAACCUGUAGUUGCAACAAUGGACACCAGUGAUUGAUCAAAAACAUCAGAAAAUUGGGAGAUGCUGGAAAUCCAGAACAACACACACAAAAUACUGGAGGAACUCAGCAGGCCAGGCAGUAUGUAUGGAAAAGAGUAAACAACCAACAUUUUGGGCCAACACCCUUCAUCAGGAAUGGAGAAGAAGGGGAGAAGUCAGAGGAAGUAGUACAAGAUCGAAGUGUCAGUAACAGUCGAUGUUUUGGGCCAAGACCAGUAACGAGGGUCAGCUCUCUCCCAUACAAGUACCAGUUAAAACAUUUUACACCUAAACCAGACUCAAGGCCUCUCUGUUAAUCUGUGGAUAAUUUUUCUCUGCGGUGGUAAGGGAACAUGAUGCAAAGGCUGUGGGGCAUUCACUUCCAUCACUCAUAACAUUACAUGGCUGCACCUAUACUUGAAGGUGAGUUCUCACUCCAUGACAUGACAUGAAUACAUGACAUUCAUAUACCAUAAGGCAAAGCAUCACAGGUAAGCUUUACUGGAUGAUGUUAAUCAUAAUGUGUGAGCACAGUGUUUGAUGUCAACACUUCCUUCACCUUUUUGAAAGCAUCUUCACAUUGCUUUGUCCUUUGCCUUUUCUUCCUGUUCUGCAAUAAUGAGUUCAAGGUGUGGAGCACAGUAGCCAGGUUUGACAGGAACCUAUUACAGUAGUUGACAAAUCCUAAAAAGAACUACAACUCUGAGAGAUCCUUUGUCCUCGGGGUAUCCAACACUGCUUGACUUUUCUCAGCACACUUGUGUAAUCCCUCUGCAAUGUUGUUGGGGUGGAACUGGACUCUCCGACGGUGAUGUCUGAAAAGAGGAUGCUGUCCAAGUUGCAUGCCAUUUUGGACAAUGACUCCCAUCCACUCCAUAAUGUAUUGGAUAGGCACAGGAGUACAUUCAGCCAGAGACUCAGUUCACUGAGAUGCAACACUGUACAUCAUAGGAAAUCAUUCCUACCUGUGGCCAUCAAACUUCACAACUCCUCCCUCAGAGUGUCAGAUACCCUGAACCAGUAGGCUGGUCUUGGACUUAUUUCCACUUGGCAUGAUUAACUUGGUAUUAUUUAAUUAUUUAUGGUUUUAUAUUGCUAUAUUUCUACACUAUUCUUGGUUGGUGCAGCUGUAACGAAACCCAGUUUCCCUCGGGAUUAAUAAAGUAUGUUUGUCUGUCUGUCUGUCUGUCUGUCUGUCAGUCAGUCAGUCAACAGUGUGACCGCAAUAAACAACUCUUGGUUUAAUGGAUUCACACUUGUCGCAUUGUGCUCUACACACAUAAUUUUCAAUCUUUUAGCACUACCUUGAGGUUUUGGAGAUGUUCCUACUCAGCAGCAAUGCAGUCAACUGGGUCUCAUUGAGUGCCGGGGCAGCCUUGCAGCACCUGGUCUAUUGCUUUCUGCCAGAGUUCAGGUGCAGAGACUACUCCAGAAAUAAGACUAUUAGAGUGAUAAAGCUCUUUGUGAGGGCCUGCAGUGAGAAAAACUUUGGACUCUUCUUUCAUCUCCAUCUGCAGCUAGGCCUUAGCUAAGUCCACUUUGAUGAAAUCUUACCCUCCAGAAAGGUUUGCAAUGAUAUCCUCUAUGCUGAACAGAGUGCAUUGAUCAACUUUCAGUACUGGGUUAUUGGUGAUUUUAAUAUCACGACAGAUCCUGAUAAACCCACUCUUCUUGGUGACUGGGACCACUGUCAUUGCCCACAGGCAAUGGAACUUUGGAAAGAAUUCCUUUAGCCUCCACGCAGCUACUUUAUCACGGAUAGUACAGGGAAUCAGAUGGUCUUUGUAACACUUGGAUGUGGCAUUUUCAUUUGACACUAGUUUGCGCUUGAUAUGUUCGAAUUUUCCAAUGCCAUACCUUAAAUAUUGUGGCAUCAUCCAGUAUCUUUCUUAAUUUGCUCUUAGUUGGCUUCAUUGCAGAGGAUAUGGAUUGCAAUUGAUGGAUGGACGUCCAAUCAAGUUGUAGUUGUCUCAGCCAUUCACAUCCCCACAAUAUUGUUCCUCCUGUUUUUACCAUACACAAGCUCGAUGAGGAUUAUUGGUUAUUGUGUUUCAUUGUUACGAAUGUCGUUCCCACAGGAGUUAAUUUUUGUCCAGUAUAUGUUCUUAGUUGGAUAUCUGGAGGCUUCAGUUUAAUAUCUUUGAAAAGCUUCUCAAACUCAUUUUGUGGAAUGUCUGAAACAGUUGAACUAGUGUCAAUUCCAUUUUAAUAUAUUUACCCUUCACUUCCGGUGUAAGCCAUAUUACUUGUCUUUUGCCAGCUUUUACACUGUUAAUCUCAAGACUACACAAGUCCUGCGUCACUCUCACCAUUAUCAUAUUUUUCACCAACAGCAUGAAGCUCACUUUGAAGCUGCAAUUUGACUUUUUAAUUUUUCUUCUUCCCUGGGCAUGCCAUUUUUAAUGUCUGCCUGAUAUGCUCUUUGCAUGUGACCUACUUUGUUACAUUUUCUGUAAGUUUUGCUUUUAAAUCUACAUUUGUUUGGUGUAUGUGAGUCCCUGCCACAACGUUAACACAAUUUGUUCAGUCAGGCUGUUUUCUAUUUGGUCAUUGCAAUUUUGUUCAUGCUCACUGUCAUUCUUCACUGCAACUCAAUUAAAUCUCUUCCUGCAUUUUCCAUUGAAACAGCUAUUUCAACUGCUUUUUUAAAUGUGAAACUAAAUAAUCUCUCAGUGCAUCAGUAAGCCCACCAAUGAACUGACAAUACUCAGUCACCUUCUUCAAUUCAAUGACAUAUGAUGAAAUGGACUUUCCUUCCUUUUGAUUCCACUUAUGAAACUUAAAGUGCUCUUUAAUCAACAAUGGCUUUGGUUCUAAACAAUCCUGCAUUAUUUUAGCAAUAGUGCCAAAAUUCAAUUCUCCUGGAUUAUUUGGAGCAGGCAAACUUUGAAACAAACUGUAUUCCUUUGAACCCAAUGCACUCAACAAAAUUGGUACUUGUUUCUCAUUGGCUAUUCCAUUUGCUUCAAAAAUAUCGUUCAAUAUAUAAAAUACAAUUAUGUUGUGUAAUCAAAUAUUUUCAUACAUUCUGAUGUAGCCAGCCACUUUUGAUCUUUUUUAUGAUU